AGCCAUGGAAUUAUAUGUCCUUUUCUGAGCCUUCAAAAGAUAAUUGCAGUUGGUGUGAACAGGUUGCUGCACCAGUUCCUUCAUACUAUCCACGAAGACCACAACCAAGACCUCAAG